CUAAAAUGUUCUAAAAAAUCUAAAAGAAUCUUAACGUUAUUCCAAUCUUGAUUAGUUAGCAUGUCAUUAUCUUCAUCCUCACAAUCCCUAGAAUUAUACGUAGCGUUUAUUGGGUUUCUAUAUUCGUACGCCACUACUAAGCUUUCAUAGAUGUAGUUCCACCUAGUGGGGCAAGGUUUAAGAACCUUUCUUUCUCUAAGGCCAUAUUCGUCACAU
rnacentral:lncRNA from 1 species